AACGAACGCUGGCGGCAUGCCUAACACAUGCAAGUCGAACGAGACCUUCGGGUCUAGUGGCGCACGGGUGCGUAACGCGUGGGAACCUGCCCUUAGGUUCGGAAUAACUCCCCGAAAGGGGUGCUAAUACCGGAUAAUGUCUUCGGACCAAAGAUUUAUCGCCUUUGGAUGGGCCCGCGUUGGAUUAGCUAGUUGGUAGGGUAAAAGCCUACCAAGGCGACGAUCCAUAGCUGGUCUGAGAGGAUGAUCAGCCACGCUGGGACUGAGACACGGCCCAGACUCCUACGGGAGGCAGCAGUGGGGAAUAUUGGACAAUGGGCGAAAGCCUGAUCCAGCAAUGCCGCGUGAGUGAUGAAGGCCUUAGGGUUGUAAAGCUCUUUUACCCGGGAUGAUAAUGACAGUACCGGGAGAAUAAGCGCCGGCUAACUCCGUG
rnacentral:rRNA from 1 species